AUUGAACGCUGGCGGCAGGCCUAACACAUGCAAGUCGAACGAGUGGCGGACGGGUGAGUAAUGUCUGGGAAAGUGCCCGAUGGAGGGGGAUAACUACUGGAAACGGUAGCUAAUACCGCAUACUAUCGGAUGUGCCCAGAGGGGUUUAGCUAGGAGGUGGGGUAAAGGCUCACCUAGGCGAAGAUCCCUAGCUGGUCUGAGAGGAUGACCAGCCACACUGGAACUGAGACACGGUCCAGACUCCUACGGGAGGCAGCAGUGGGGAAUAUUGCACAAUGGGCGAAAGCCUGAUGCAGCCAGGCCGCGUGUAUGAAGAAGGCCUUCGGGUUGUAAAGUACUUUCAGCGAGGAGGCGUUACUCGCAGAAGAAGCACCGGCUAACUCCGUGCCAGCCGCCGCGGUAAUAC
rnacentral:rRNA from 1 species